UCUUCACCAGUUUUUUCUAGUUAUGAAUAUGUAAACUGGUCUGCGUUAGGAGUGGGCCUUUUCCUGCUGGCCAAAGCUGUCCAGUGGGGAGCAUAAGGUAAAGGGCCAGGACCUACCGCUCUUCCCAAAGGAGAAUCCUCAGCUACAUUUGGAUGGUUUGGGCAAAGAGUCUUCUUUGUCUUCAACAGUGAGCUGUGUUCAGUCGCAGAUGCUGUAUCUUUGUUUUUUGAAGAAGUACAAAACACCGCAGAGGUCACCCAGGCUGUCUCCCAGCCCCGGGGAGCUUGUUGACCCACCAGACGCUGACAGAUGAGAGACACACGUCUGACUGCAAUGAACAGCAAGACUUAUGGUACGUAGCGGUCUGAAGGGGAUGUAUGGAGCUUGUCUUGAGAAAAUAUCACUGCUCUGGGCCUUUUCCUGCUCCCAUUCCAGUUGCUGAAUAUUUUGCUGUUGUCCUUGAAGCCUUAAAGCACAUAACUUGUGGUCGUGCUCUGCUGUUGUCACAACCUUGGCAGAGGGGUGAAUGCCGUGCGCCUUCUGGAUGGAUUGGGUGCCUCUUCUUGACUAAGACUUGUGAGUAAAGUUGGCUCCGGAUUUCCUUUCUUCACCACCUCCCUUGCAGAUUUCAAGUAGAGAUUUCAAGGAUGUUGGACUGAAAUGGAUCUCUCAGAUUAGAAAAUUGAGUAUGUUGCGAUUAAAGGUGGACACAUUUUUGACAGCAGGUAUUUUCCAGUUCCCAGUACUUCUGGAAGGUUUCUGGUGCCUAGAAAUCUUCUUCCUACUGACAACCUUCUGUUUGCUGAAGCACAGAUUGAUUCCUGUCCUCCCUGAAGACCACAGCCAAAUGCAGAUAAGCAGAGCUUUUCAGUAACAACAUCAAUUCCAUUCUCACAAGGGGAAUAUUUUCUUUUUGAUUUGAGGUUUCCAUCGGAUCUUAAUGAGCGCUACGUACGGGUCUUGAGGAAAGAGCUUGAGCCAAGACAGUCUGGUUCUGCAAAGCGGCUACUCUGUAAUGAAACUUCUUAUAUGCCUGAGUUAAUGGGAAAAACCAUCAGUCAGCCCUCCCACUGACUUCAGGGAUGAACCCGACCCGUUAUUCCAAAGUGUUACCAACUGGACAUGUUUGUACUUGACUGUUCUACGGCUGAAAUGGGCUGGGGAGCACGAUUAUACGACGUGUGUGCACAGAGACCUGUGACAGAAACCAGUGUGGCUGAUUAUGACCGACUGAGGGUGAAAAUGAAAGUGUCUUGCUGGGUAAUGGGCUGUUCUAAUCGAGAUCUUGU